GACGAACGCUGGCGGCGUGCUUAACACAUGCAAGUCGAACGGAAAGGCCCUGCUUUUGUGGUGUUCUCGUGUGGCAAACGGGUGUGACACACGUGUGUACUGCGCUCUUCACUUUGGUAUACCUUCAGGACACUGUGUCUUAUACCGGAUAGGCGCUCCUGCUGCAUGUUGGUGGAUAGAUAUUUUUGUCGGUUUUGGGUGCGCUCGCUGUCUGCUAGUUUGUUGGGGGGUUAGUGGCUUACCAAGGCGGUGGCGGGUAGCCGGCCUGAGUGGGUGGACGGCGACAUUGGGACUGAGAUACGGCCCAGACGCCGACGGGAGGCAGCAGGGGGGAAGAGUGCACAAUGGGCGCAAGCCUGAUGCAGCGACGCCGCGUGGGGGAUGACGGCCUUCGGGUUGUAAACUCCUUUCGCUAGGGACGAAGCUUUUUGUGACGGUACCUAGAUAAGAAGCACCGGCUAACUACGUG
rnacentral:rRNA from 1 species